rnacentral:tRNA from 1 species
UAGAAAUACUAGUAAUAGUAGGGGCGGAUGUAGC